rnacentral:rRNA from 1 species
UACGAAGGGGGCAAGCGUUGUUCGGAAUUACUGGGCGUAAAGGGCGCGUAGGCGGCCGAUCAAGUCAGGCGUGAAAUUCCCGGGCUCAACCUGGGGGCUGCGCUUGAUACUGAUUGGCUUGAAUGCGGGAGAGGAUAGUGGAAUUCCCAGUGUAGAGGUGAAAUUCGUAGAUAUUGGGAAGAACACCAGUGGCGAAGGCGGCUGACUGGUCCGGUUCUGACGCUGAGGCGCGAAAGCGUGGGGAGCAAACAGG